rnacentral:rRNA from 1 species
UGGUCAAGUUAUUAAGGGUGCAGGGCGGAUGCCUUGGCACUAGGAGCCGAUGAAGGACGUGAUAAGCUGCGAUAAGCUUCGGGGAGUUGCACGUAAACUUUGAUCCGAAGAUUUCCGAAUGAGGAAACUCACUUAGAGUAAUGUCUAAGUAUCAUUAAGUGAAUACAUAGCUUAAUGAGGGGAACUCAGGGAACUGAAACAUCUAAGUACCUGAAGGAAGAGAAAGAAAUUCGAUUCCGUAAGUAGCGGCGAGCGAACGCGGAUUAGCCCAAACCAAUAAAGUUUUCUUUAUUGGGGUUGCGGACAUAUCAUAACGAAGAGGUAUCGUAAUUGAAGAGGUUUGGAAAGACUCACCACAGAAGGUAAUAGUCCUGUAUGUUAAACGAGAAGACGUUAGAUAUGAUCCAGAGUACCACGGGACACGUGAAACCCUGUGGGAAGCAGGAGGGACCACCCUCCAAGGCUAAAUACUACCUAGUGACCGAUAGCGUAUAGUACCGUGAGGGAAAGGUGAAAAGAACCCCGGGAGGGGAGUGAAAUAGAACCUGAAACCCUGCACUUACAAGCUGUGGAAGCACAUUUCUUGUGUGACCGCGUACUUUUUGUAGAACGGGCCAACGAGUUACGUUAAGUAGCAAGGUUAAGCACUUAAGG